rnacentral:rRNA from 1 species
AUUGAACGCUGGCGGCAUGCCUUACACAUGCAAGUCGAACGGUAACAGGUCUUCGGAUGCUGACGAGUGGCGAACGGGUGAGUAAUACAUCGGAACGUGCCUAGUAGUGGGGGAUAACUACUCGAAAGAGUGGCUAAUACCGCAUGAGAUCUACGGAUGAAAGCAGGGGAUCGCAAGACCUUGUGCUACUAGAGCGGCCGAUGGCAGAUUAGGUAGUUGGUGGGAUAAAAGCUUACCAAGCCGACGAUCUGUAGCUGGUCUGAGAGGACGAUCAGCCACACUGGGACUGAGACACGGCCCAGACUCCUGCGGGAGGCAGCAGUGGGGAAUUUUGGACAAUGGGCGAAAGCCUGAUCCAGCAAUGCCGCGUGCAGGAUGAAGGCCUUCGGGUUGUAAACUGCUUUCGUACGGAACGAAAAGCCCCGGGUUAAUACCCUGGGGUCAUGACGGUACCGUAAGAAUAAGCACCGGCUAACUACGUGCCAGCAGCCGCCGUAA